AGGCCAUUUUCACUGCUUUUGUGGUGGAAUGUCAUCAAUUAAGGCAGGAACCGGCCAUCUGGAUGUGUAUGUGCAGGUCACAGGGGAUAUGAUGGCUUAGCUUGGGCUCAGAGGCCUGACAGCUAUGUCCUAGAUCUUGGAAUGUUUUCACGUUGAUUUUAUUGCACAAACUGAUAGUCUUUCCCGAUUACAUCUCUGAUAAUGCAUUUUAAAUCAUUUAAUAACAUUUUACACCUUUAGACAUUUUAAAACAAAGGGUUUAGACAUUUUUAAACUGUUACCAUUAACUCUGAUUGAUACAAUUGAGAGUCAGAAGAAAGUAAGCCAUAUAUCAAGCAAUACAAUCAUUAUCAUUGAAUCAAAAACAACCCAAUUGCAACAGGUGUAUUAGCUCUACAAUUGUUCUCGAAAUAAUAAAUAAUUUACUGUGUUAUUUUCAAAUAUAUCGAUGGCCUAAAUGUGGAAAAAUGUAAUUCCCAGAAAACAGAAAAACAACUCAGCAAAGAUCCCAUUUCAACUACCAAGGCUUAUCCCCCAUGCUUACAUGAUUAUUUUGCAUAUUAAGGAGAUUUUCACUAAGCUUACUUGAUAGUUAAAGUUCUCCAAACAAAAUGAAAUGCUAGAUUGAAUUAACAAUAGAUUAUUUCUUCUUAAUUAAUACAAGGAUUGCUCUGAAAGGAGACACUUGGCCAUUACAGGAAGCUGAACCCAUUCUCCCUUUUGUGUAUUCAUGUUUCACAUGAGAAGACAAGUAAUCACAUGAAAACCCAAUAAUACCAACUUCAGUUGCCCAGUGGGUUUGACCUCAGAAGAAAAUGUAGGAUGUAGUUUUGCUUCUUCUAGUUGUUAGCUAUUUCUCUCCAAGUAGAAAAUUAUGGGAAGAGAGAGAUUUUUCUUCAAAAUAAAGUGGACAAAGUAAACUAUAUUUGUGCAGGACCGAGACAGAACUCUUGGCAUUUCAGUAAAAAAAUUCCUCAAGGGACUGCUAGUUUUGAUUUUGCGUGUAGACUAAACUAACACUGUUAAAAGGCACUAUGAUUAGUGUCCACCUCUGAGAAAUAAAUGUGUGCACCAAAAUUAAGGUUUGCUUAGCAGAUUAAAAACAUGUAUGCAGAUUAGAAAAACUUUUAAAUUCUAAACCUCUAUUCCGUUGACCACUUUGGCUGAACAUAAUUUCUUGGCAUCCAACCACUGACCAACAAAUACUACAUUUUCAAGAGUAAAAAAGAAAUACACGAAAUGAUUAUUAAGCCCCUAUUAUAGACAAAAAAUUACAGAGGCUCCCAAAAGAUUCCAGGAGUUUUGUGAUUGUUGAGUCAGUUUUCUGAAGUCUGACCAUGGUGUGCACUCCAGUAAGCCUAAUUUGGAAGAAUGACCCAGCAGGAUGUUUCUGAUUGAUUCUGGAAAUCUUAUCUAAAAUCCAAUGCUGAGCUAGCUAAAAAUCAAAAUAAACUCAUGUUUAGAGCUCCAGCGAAGUUCAGCUUUGAUUAACCUAUCCAGAUUUGUUAUUUAAAAAUACCAGAGAGAUACCAUAUUAAUUGUAACACAUAUUCAAGUUUUUACUGUUUUAAAAAAUUAAUUAAAAAAUUAUGUAGCAGUGUAUAGGUCACUGUAAUCAUUUGAGAUUUAGGACCUUAAUCUAAUCUUGCCUCCAAUCAUAUAUACAUGUGUGGUGUAUGUAUGCGUAUAUGUGUAUACAUAUAUACAUAUAUGUGUAUUUUUUUUUUUUUUUUAACAAAGUUCCACAUGAUAUGGCCCCAUUGUUACUUAAAAACUACAACUUUUAACAGUCUUUGCCUUUCCCAUUCUACUCUAGAUAGAUCACUUCAAGGCCUUUGUGCUUACUGUUCUCUGACCCUGGAAUGAUCUUUCCCCAGACCUGCCCAUGACUUGCUUCCUUGUUUUAUUCACAUCUCUGCUUACAUGUCACCUCCUCAGAUAGUCCUUCUCUGAAAACUCUGUGUAAAAUGACCUUCAACACUCAGAGUGUUCUGUCUUAGUCUGUUUUGUGUUGCUAUAAAGAAAUACCUGAGGAUGGGUAAUUUAUAAAGAAAAGAAGUUUAUUUGGCUCACAGUUCUGCUAGGUGUAAAGGAAGCAUGGCAUCAACAUCUUCUGACGAGGAACUCAGAGUGUAAUGUAUAGCCUGAAGAGGGGUCAUCUGAGGGGUCAAGAAGAAUGUGCCUGUGAAUUGCUCCUCUCCCAAAAUGCAUUUGUAUCAUGUCUUUGCAGCAAGAAGUGACUAUAUCUCUGUGAAUGCUACAUACAUUACCAUAUUGUAAUUUAACACCAAAGGCAUUAGCUGCACCAACUUUUUAUUUAUUGUGAUCUUGAAAAACACAUGGUCUUCACAUUUUUUGAUGAGGGUCAUUAAAAAAUAUUUAUGGAAUAUGCAUGUCAAUCCCAGAUAUAUUGAAAUGAGUAAACCUUCAUAUUAUGCUGUUGGCUACAUAACAGAGCAAUAGCUGGAACUACUUUGCCUUGGACUCUUAAAACAGGAAAGAUUUUAUAUACUUCAUUGUCCAAAGAGUUAUCUAGGUCUUCUCUUCCCUUAUUCAAAAGGAAUGCAAUUGUCUUGAACUCCCUCCCUAGGAAUCUCAAACAACCAGGGGUAUUAAUUACCAAAGAGGAGAUUAAAAGUCAUCACCACAUCCAGACAGGCUAUUGCCUAUUCUUCUGGAGGCUUCUCUGAAACAACUCUUGUUACCUGAGAGAUUUUAUCUGCAAAAUAAGACAACCUUUAUUCACCAUGCAAUUUCUCUCCUUUCCCUUCCAUUAUUUGUGAUCACUUUCCCACAAAGCUUCAAGACUUUAUUCUUUUAUGUUAUAAAAACUUCACUCAUCUGCCCCUUCUUUAAGACUCGUAUCUUUUUAUUAGGUUCAUUUCUGCAUGCACAUAAUUAAAAUGGUUUUUAUCCUGUUAAUCUGUUUAUUGUCAGUUUAUUUUAGCAGACUCAAUGAUCAAAUCUUUAGAGGGAAAGUUUAAACUUUCCUACAAUAUCAAAAUGAUUACCUUCUAAAACAUGUAAAUUUUCUCAUAUUAAACCAAUGUGUGUAAAUUCACUUCUAAUGUUUCUAAUUUGAAUUAUUAAGUUAGUCAAACAGAUAAGAAUGUUGUUCAAACUGAAGAUGCAUCAAUAAAAAUUAUCCGAAAUGAGGUAUAUUUGAGAGGGUCAAAUAUUCUAAAAGAAUAUUUCAGACACCACCUCCUCCAGCAACAAAAAUAGCUACAAACCAAUAUAAAUUUCAUGUUAGUUAUUUUCAUACAUAUUGAAAACUUUACUGUACAUUAAAAGGUUGUACAGACAGCCCUCCAUAUCUGUGGGUUUCACAUCCAUGUAUUCAACCAAGCAUGGAUCAAAAAUAUUGAGUAAAAAAAAAUUUUUUUUGUAGAGACAGGGGACUUGCUAUGUUGUCCAGGCUGGUCUUGAACUCCUGGCUUCAAGCAGUCCUCCCACUUGGUCUUCAUUGGAAAACUUUUGACAAUGUGUUUCAACAAAGGGAAAAUAAAAUAUAACAGAGUCCCACAAAUCCUUUGAUGUGAGCUUCCCUUUAUUGUCUAACAUUUUCUUGAGUCCUCUUCUUUGCCUAUUGUGUUUGAGGUCUAGUUAAGCAGAUAAAGCUUCAAAUGCAGAGAGGGAUGACUUAAGAAAAUAAAGGGAGAGAUGACUUUAGAAAAGAAAAUAGAAACAAAUUUGCAGAGCCUGCAGCCAGCCACUUGGUUAUAUAAAGCACUGGCAAAUAUUAGAGAUCCACUGUUUCUAAUUUGAGAAAUUAUGGAUCAGUUCAUAUUCCUAAGGACUGGAAAAGAACAAAUAUGCACGUAUUUAAAAGGUAAAAAAGAUGCCCCUUCAAAUAGUAGAUUGGUCAUUUUAGCAUUGUCAUUUAAAAUAUAUAUUAGGAAAAAAAUGAUCUAACAGCCGUUAUAAAACAUAUAGAUGCAUAGAAUCAUGAAUAUUAAUUAAUGUGGAUUUGAAAACAGCAUAUCAUUAGCCAGGCUCAGUGACAUGUGCCUGUAAUCCCAGCUGCUCGGGAGGCUGAGGCAGGAGAAUUGCUUGAACCCGGGAAGCGGAGGUUGCAGUGAGCCAAGAUCACACCACUGCACUCCAGCCUGGGUGACAUCUGUCUCUUAAAAAAA
rnacentral:lncRNA from 10 species